UCCUCCCUCUUUCUUCGUGCCUAAUACAUGCAAGUUGAGCGCUGAAGGUUGGUACUUGUACCAACUGGAUGAGCAGCGCACGGGUGAGUAACGCGUGGGGAAUCUGCCUUUGAGCGGGGGACAACAUUUGGAAACGAAUGCUAAUACCGCAUAAAAACUUUAAACACAAGUUUUAAGUUUGAAAGAUGCAAUUGCAUCACUCAAAGAUGAUCCCGCGUUGUAUUAGCUAGUUGGUGAGGUAAAGGCUCACCAAGGCGAUGAUACAUAGCCGACCUGAGAGGGUGAUCGGCCACAUUGGGACUGAGACACGGCCCAAACUCCUACGGGAGGCAGCAGUAGGGAAGCUUCGGCAAUGGACGAAAGUCUGACCGAGCAACGCCGCGUGAGUGAAGAAGGGUUUCGGAUCGUAAAACUCGGUUGGUAGAGAAGAACGUUGGUGAGAGUGGAAAGCUCAUCAAGUGACGGUAACUACCCAGAAAGGGACGGCUAACUACGUG
rnacentral:rRNA from 1 species